CUGGCAGAGGUGGUUGGGGCUAUGUGCCUGGAGUGAAGAUUCUGCCCAUUGGUCAAGAGACCUCCCUCUCAGAUGCUGGCUCUGCCCCUGCCUUUGGGGGUCGACCCUUGUACUCGCAGGACCUUAGGUGACUCUGCUGGAGUGCAACAGUGCGAUCUCUCGGUUCACUGCAACCUCUGCCUCCCAGAUUCAAGUGAUUCUGCUGCCUCAGCCUCCCAAGUAGCUGGGAUUACAUGCACGUGCCACCACACCCAGCUAAUUUUGUAUUUUUGGUAGAGACAGGGUUUCACUACGUUGGUCAGGCUGGUCUCAAACUCCUGACCUCAAAUGAUCCAAUCACCUCGGCCUCCCAAAGUGUUACGAUUACAGGUGUGAGCCACUGCACCUGGCUGAGCUCUGGAGCUAUUUCUUUCUAACCAAGAUGGACGCAGAGGUCUAGAACCAGCCUGCUAAACACUCCUCUUAUCUACCACUCAACUUCAUCAUAUCCAUUGGAUUCUAAGUGACAGAUACUAUUCCAUCAGGAUAAAGCACACCUCCCUUUGUCCACACAGCCCCUAGAAGCAGGCAGUACAGAGCACAGCAGCUACUUAUCCCCACCUUACAGAUGAGAUGACUGAGAAGGGAGAACCAGCACUGCAAAAUCCUAGACUCCUGACUUGGAGUUCAGUACUCUUUGAUUCUACUUCUCUGAUCAUCCAGGAAGCCAACCUGCCUGAGGACGAGUCAUA
rnacentral:lncRNA from 10 species